rnacentral:rRNA from 1 species
UAGGGAAUAUUAGUAAUGGGCGAAAGCCUGAACUAGCAACGCCGCGUGUGCGAAGAAGGCCUUCGGGUUGUAAAGCACUUUUUGAGAGGAUGAGGAAGGACGGUACUCUCAGAAUAAGUCUCGGCUAACUACGUGCCAGCAGCCGCGGUAACACGUAGGAGGCGAACGUUAUCCGUAUUUACUGGGCGUAAAGCGCGUGUAGGUGGUUUGGUAAGUAGGGCGUGAAAGCUCCUGGCUCAACUGGGAGAGGCCGUUCUAAACUGCCGAACUAGAGGAUGGUAGAGGGAGGUGAAUUCCGGGUGUAGCGGUGGAAUGCGCAGAUAUCCGGAGGAACACCAGUGGCGAAAGCGGCCUCCUGGACCAUUCCUGACACUCAGGCGCGAAAGCUAGGGUAGCAAACGG